rnacentral:lncRNA from 1 species
GGAGCUAGCAACAAGUACUGUCUGAAAGUAAGAAUGAAGGAAGGAAGGACUGGUAAAGGAAUGAAUGACCACUGGAAAAAUAAGAGGUUGAUGGAUGGCACAUUUAACGGAAGGAUAAAGGAACUCCACCCGAAUCUCAUUCACUUUCUCUCAUAACCUUAUGAAACAUUUGCUAUGCCAAGAUGGAGCAGGGCUGAGCUGUGUAUUCGGUGCCAAGAGGCAUUCGUGAGGGUCCUGUGCUAUGCACUGACUGCCACUUGAGGAAUGGAACAGGACUACGUAAUCAGUCAAGUUGGACUGGGUGUCUUCUGCACAGCUCCAUUCAAGGUUACAACAAAGCCAUAUAGGAUCUGGUAUUUGACCUCCUACGAUAACUCAAGAAACAUUUACCAGGUGCAGUAGGUGAGGCAGACAGGCCUGUGGAGGCGCCUGAAGAGGGAGC